GACAGAGGGUGCGAGCGUUGUUCGGAAUUACUGGGCGUAAAGCGCGCGCAGGCGGCUUUGCAAGUCGGGAGUGAAAUACCGGGGCUCAACCCCGGGGCGGCUUCCGAAACUGCAUGGCUAGGGACCGGUAGAGGCUGGUGGAAUUCCCGGUGUAGCGGUGGAAUGCGUAGAUAUCGGGAAGAACACCCGUGGCGAAGGCGGCCAGCUGGGCCGGGUCCGACGCUGAGGCGCGAAAGCGUGGGGAGCAAACAGG
rnacentral:rRNA from 1 species